GAUGAUUGAUCAGUCUGAUGUGCCGGUGAGUUCUGAUUCAAACCGAUCUUGAACGCAGCCGGAGAGGAGCUUUAUUUGUUGGAUCGAGAAGUCUGAACAGGAAUCGAAAGAAAAAUGAAGAUCAUUCUACUGAUUGUGCUCGUUUUGGCCACAGUAAUGGUCACCGUGAAUGCCGACUGCAUGUUCACGGACCGCAUGGCUGGCCUUGAGGAAGUAGGGGACAAGAAAGUCAUAGAAUCUAAUGGGUUUUGCUACGAGUGUGAGAAAGGCUCAACUAUCGUCGAGUGUUGCAAUACGUUCAACAAGGCCUGCAUAACAGCCCCUGAAUUGCCAUAGUUCAAACUGCUUUCAAAAAAUAGCGGUCUACUGGUCAUCCCUUCACUUUUUAUGUAUUUAGUGGGGUAAUAAAAUUGACUGAUGUCAUGAUUUAUUGA